rnacentral:rRNA from 1 species
GACGAACGCUGGCGGCGUGCUUAACACAUGCAAGUCGAACGGUGAAGCGCCUUCCUUUUUGGUGGGUGUGGAUGAGUGGCGAACGGGUGAGUAACACGUGAGUAACCUGCCCCCUUCUUCUGGAUAACCGCAUGAAAGUGUGGCUAAUACGGGAUAUUCUGGGUCUGUCGCAUGAUGGGUCUGGGAAAGAUAUUGUUUCGGUGGGGGAUGGGCUCGCGGCCUAUCAGCUUGUUGGUGGGGUGAUGGCCUACCAAGGCGGUGACGGGUAGCCGGCCUGAGAGGGUGGACGGUCACACUGGGACGGAGACACGGCGCAGACUCCUACGGGAGGCAGCAGUGGGGAAUAUUGCACAAUGGGCGCAAGCCUGAUGCAGCGACGCCGCGUGAGGGAUGGAGGCCUUCGGGUUGUGAACCUCUUUCGCCAGUGAAGCAGGCCUGCCUCGUUUGUGGGUGGGUUGACGGUAGCUGGAGAAGAAGCGCCGGCUAACUACGUG